rnacentral:lncRNA from 1 species
GGGCUGCACCGCUUUUCACCUGGGUGUUUACUGGAUGGAGCGUGCUCCCACUCACCUUCUCUCUGUUCAUCCCCUGCGCACAAGUGCGCGCAGUGUGUGUGUGUAGGUAUAUGUGUAUCUAUAUAUCGGCAUAUUCUCCUUUUUUCGACGCGGAGAGACGUGCCCGGUCGCUCUCAGCUUAGAGAAGAGCCAGCAACCGUGCCCUCUGGGACAGACUGCAGUAUCAGUCCCCAGAAGACUCGUCCCCCUUUCCCUGAGAGGUGAGUUGGAACCUGCAAAUCCACUGACACACGGGGAAAUUCCUUCCGAUGCCUGGAGGAGUGAGGCCACAUGUACAGCUCUCCUGCUGCCUCAGACGACCACACAACCCACAGCCAGCGCCGCCUCUCAGCCUGAUGCAACCAAGCACCGUCGGCAGCUGCCCCCAGGGCCAAUCCGCACACGGGAUGCUCUGCUCGAACCACGGUGCUUCGGCAGCACGGAGACUGCACUA